CUACGGGGCGCUGCAGUUACGAAACCUUCACAAUGCACGAAAGUGUGAUGAGGGAAUCCUAAGUGCUAGCACUUUGUGUUAGCUUUUCUCAAGUCUAAACCGCUUGAGGAAUAAGUGGUGGGUAAGACCGUUGCCAGCCGCCGCGGUAAUAACGGCACCACAAGUGGUGUCCAUGUAUAUUGGGUCUAAAGCAUUCGUAGCUGGUUUACUAAAUCUUUUGUGAAAUCCUUUUGAAAACAAAGAGGCGGGCAGAAGAGACUAAUAAACUUGGGACUGGAAAGGGUUAGAGGUACUCUUAGGGUAGGGGUAAAAUCCUAUAAUCCUAAGGGGACCACCUGUGGCGAAGGCGUCUAACUAGAACGGGUCCGACAGUGAGGGAUGAAAGCUAGGGGAGCAAACUGGAAUGAGGAUAAAUUUAUAA
rnacentral:rRNA from 1 species